rnacentral:rRNA from 2 species
UGCAGCCAUGCCGCGUGUGUGAAGAAGGCCUUCGGGUUGUAAAGCACUUUCAGUCAGGAGGAAAGGUUAGUAGUUAAUACCUGCUAGCUGUGACGUUACUGACAGAAGAAGCACCGGCUAACUCCGUGCCAGCAGCCGCGGUAAUACGGAGGGUGCGAGCGUUAAUCGGAAUUACUGGGCGUAAAGCGUACGCAGGCGGUUUGUUAAGCGAGAUGUGAAAGCCCCGGGCUCAACCUGGGAACUGCAUUUCGAACUGGCAAACUAGAGUGUGAUAGAGGGUGGUAGAAUUUCAGGUGUAGCGGUGAAAUGCGUAGAGAUCUGAAGGAAUACCGAUGGCGAAGGCAGCCACCUGGGUCAACACUGACGCUCAUGUACGAAAGCGUGGGGAGCAAACGGGAUUAGAUACCCCGGUAGUCCACGCCGUAAACGAUGUCUACUAGAAGCUCGGAGCCUCGGUUCUGUUUUUCAAAGCUAACGCAUUAAGUAGACCGCCUGGGGAGUACGGCCGCAAGGUUAAAACUCAAAUGAAUUGACGGGGGCCCGCACAAGCGGUGGAGCAUGUGGUUUAAUUCGAUGCAACGCGAAGAACCUUACCUACACUUGACAUACAGAGAACUUACCAGAGAUGGUUUGGUGCCUUCGGGAACUCUGAUACAGGUGCUGCAUGGCUGUCGUCAGCUCGUGUUGUGAGAUGUUGGGUUAAGUCCCGCAACGAGCGCAACCCCUAUCCUUAGUUGCUAGCAGGUAAUGCUGAGAACUCUAAGGAGACUGCCGGUGAUAAACCGGAGGAAGGUGGGGACGACGUCAAGUCAUCAUGGCCCUUACGUGUAGGGCUACACACGUGCUACAAUGGCGCAUACAGAGUGCUGCGAACUCGCGAGAGUAAGCGAAUCACUUAAA